GAGUUUGAUCCUGGCUCAGGAUGAACGCUGGCGGCGUGCCUAAUACACGCAAGUCGAGCGAACAGAUAAGGAGCUUGCUCCUUUGAAGUUAGCGGCGGACGGGUGAGUAACACGUGGGUAACCUACCUAUAAGACUGGGAUAACUUCGGGAAACCGGAGCUAAUACCGGAUAACAUUUAGAACCGCAUGGUUCUAAAGUGAAAGAUGGUUUUGCUAUCACUUAUAGAUGGACCCGCGCCGUAUUAGCUAGUUGGUAAGGUAACGGCUUACCAAGGCGACGAUACGUAGCCGACCUGAGAGGGUGAUCGGCCACACUGGAACUGAGACACGGUCCAGACUCCUACGGGAGGCAGCAGUAGGGAAUCUUCCGCAAUGGGCGAAAGCCUGACGGAGCAACGCCGCGUGAGUGAUGAAGGGUUUCGGCUCGUAAAACUCUGUUAUUAGGGAAGAACAAAUGUGUAAGUAACUGUGCACAUCUUGACGGUACCUAAUCAGAAAGCCACGGCUAACUACGUGCCAGCAGCCGC
rnacentral:rRNA from 1 species